rnacentral:rRNA from 1 species
CUAUAAUGCAGUCGAGCGGACAGAAGGGAGCUUGCUCCCGGAUGUUAGCGGCGGACGGGUGAGUAACACGUGGGUAACCUGCCUGUAAGACUGGGAUAACUCCGGGAAACCGGAGCUAAUACCGGAUAGUUCCUUGAACCGCAUGGUUCAAGGAUGAAAGACGGUUUCGGCUGUCACUUACAGAUGGACCCGCGGCGCAUUAGCUAGUUGGUGAGGUAACGGCUCACCAAGGCGACGAUGCGUAGCCGACCUGAGAGGGUGAUCGGCCACACUGGGACUGAGACACGGCCCAGACUCCUACGGGAGGCAGCAGUAGGGAAUCUUCCGCAAUGGACGAAAGUCUGACGGAGCAACGCCGCGUGAGUGAUGAAGGUUUUCGGAUCGUAAAGCUCUGUUGUUAGGGAAGAACAAGUGCAAGAGUAACUGCUUGCACCUUGACGGUACCUAACCAGAAAGCCACGGCUAACUACGUGCCAGCAGCCGCGGUAAUACGUAGGUGGCAAGCGUUGUCCGGAAUUAUUGGGCGUAAAGGGCUCGCAGGCGGUUUCUUAAGUCUGAUGUGAAAGCCCCCGGCUCAACCGGGGAGGGUCAUUGGAAACUGGGAAACUUGAGUGCAGAAGAGGAGAGUGGAAUUCCACGUGUAGCGGUGAAAUGCGUAGAGAUGUGGAGGAACACCAGUGGCGAAGGCGACUCUCUGGUCUGUAACUGACGCUGAGGAGCGAAAGCGU